ensembl:lncRNA
UGGUGCCAGACAGGCUGGUCUGAGCAUUUCGGAAACUACUGAAGUGAUGGUACUUUCCCACACAUGCAUCUCUCAGGUUUACAGAAAAUGGUCAGAAAAACAGAAAAUGUCCAGUAGUGGUGAAAACACCUUGUUGAUGCCAGAGAUCAGAGGAGAAUAGCUCGACUGCUUUGAUCUUAUUGGAAGGUAACAGUAACUCAAAUAACCACUCAUUACAACCAAGGUAUGCAGGAGAGCAUCUUUAAAUGCAAAACAGGUCCAACUUAGAAGCAGAUGGACUACAGCAGCAGAAGACCACACUGGGUGCCUCUUCUGUCACCAAACCAAAACUGGACAACAGAAAACUGGGGGGAAAAAAGAAGCUGUGACAUUUGUAGUGUCAGAAUUUAGUGUAAACAACACCUUGGAUAGCUGCUGGUAUGGUAUCAAAUAUUUUCUUUGCACUUUGGGCCCCCUAAUAUCAGCUGAGCAUUGUUUAAAUGCCACGGCUUACCUGAGUAUGGCUGCUGACCACAUCCAUCCUUAUACGACCACACUGUACCCAUUGUCUGAUGGCUCAAAUCAUCUCAAACUGGUUCCCUAAACAUGACCGAGUACCUAAAUCACCAGGUAUCAGCCCAAUGGAGAAUCUUUGGGAUGUGGUGGAACAGGAGAUUCACAUCAUGGAUGUGCAGCAGACAAAUCUGCAGCGGCUGUUUGAUGCCAUCAUGUCAAAAUGAAGAUUUUUUUAAACAUUCUGCUUUUAUCAGCUAAUUUGGGUUCAAGCAUAUAUCCCCAGUCUUCUGAUUAUUAUAAGAAUAUGCCUAACAAGCUCACGCUUCUCUAACUUCCUUGUUUAUUUUAAAACUUCCAUUCUUCCGCCUGUGCCAUGCAGACUCAAGUGACAUCGUUUGAGGACAUGCACCGGAUUCCUUUUCUGCUUAUGCAGCGUGAAGGGCACAUGUAAGUUUUACUCUACCCCCAAAAUGUGAAAAACAAUUUACAAAAAGAUCAAAAACUAAACUAAAUGCAACAUAAAAUUAAACAACUUGACUUUUUUUUAAGGCCGAGAUAAGAUAAAGUGCCCAAAGUUGACAAAGCAGACAAAAGACAAAGGAGAUCUUUGGCUGAUCACAAUAAUGUAGAUACAUAAAGGCAAACAGACACUAACAAAGUGACUAAAUAGAAAGAAGUAAACCAAACGGUAAUGUGUAACCAAAUAAAAAACAUGAAAGUAAAUCAUUUGAAUUCCCCCCAUGAUGUAUCUUUAAGGAAUUCACACAUUCAGACAAAAAACUCAACAACAGUUGCAGAAAUGCAGUCCCAGCAUGCUUCACAGGCUGCCUAAAGCCUCUCGUCGCUGUGGCUGUCUCCACCCUCCGAGUUGGAGUAAGAUCUCUCAUCUGCUGAAUCUCCAGUCCACACCUUUUGUUCCCCCUGCUUCUCCUGCUCCCCUUGUUCCCCCUGCUCCCAUUGUUCCUCCUCCUCUUGCUUCAGUUUGUUGACAUCCAAGUCCUCCUGUUUCUGUUCACCUGAGAGUGUCUUGUCUUCGCUCGAUUCACACAUCUGGACCUGCUUUUUGCUCCCUCUCCUCCCAUUAAGACCGCUCCUGGCCAAACAUCUCCGCACGGUGGAUGGGUCCACCAGAGUGCCGCUGGUCACCGCCAGCUCUGAGGUGAUGGCGCUACUGGACAUGGUCCGAUUCUCCAGGAAAGUCAGCUUAAUGAGUCUUUCGUCCGCUUUACUCAGCUUCCUCGGUCGGCCGCUGCGUUUCUGAUCUUCAACCGUACCCGUUUUUUUGUGCUUCUGCAGAAGAGCUUGGACAGCACGUUUGGAAACACCUGUCUGACGCGAGAUUUCCGCCUGUGAGAGACCUUGCUGGCGCAGGCUCACCACCUUGUGUCUCGUUUCUAUGCUCACUUUAGCCAUGGUGUUUGAUCUUUCUGAUCCCAGCAGCCUCACCUUAACCAGGUAGACCAGACGACGGGAAUCACAACCAAAACAGCAGGCGGAAGAGCGUCUUCUUCUGCGUCUUCUUCUUGAUGCAUACUUGAGGUUGGCACACAUCUAAUUGGUGCAUUACCGCCACCAGCUGGUCCCGAUAGCGUUCACCACUUAAAGACUUCAACAGCCAGGUUAACUUUUAGUUUCUUGAGGUUUUUGGACCACUUUGCGUCUCCUGUCUUCAUAUUUUUCAUAGUAUAAUACAACAUGUUUGGUGUUUUCCUGUUACGAAUGACAGAUGGGAAUCUCUCCUGCUCCUCCCCAGAACCAUUACCCUUUCAUUUCGUCCUUUCAUUGCUUUUGCCACCUUUUCAACAUUUUCUGCAUCACGAUGCUCUUUAUUCCUGUCAGCCUGAGUUUAACUAAAACAUUUUUUUUUCUAAAAAAAGAACUUUAUUCAUGAACAUCAGUGCAAACAAAAAGGCACUCAUAAUAGUUGUCUUGAUUAACUAUCAUUAGUGUCUUUUUAUUAUAGUUAUUCAAAUAACCUAUAUACACAAGGUGGGGUGGCUGUGCUGGGAAAUGAGAAAGAAAACACAAGAUCAUUUUAAAAUUGUAUAUACAUGAAGACAGGUAGGUAGGUAGGUAGGUAGAUAGGUAGAUAGAUAUACUGUACACUAUGUGAGUGUUUUGAGUGAAUUUGAGUCAAGUUAUUGGUCUUGCAUCUUCAAGUACUAUGAACAUUUCUCCCAUGUUCAUUCAUAAUCUGUCAGUAAUGUUUUCCUCUACUUUGAUAAGAAACUCAGAAACAGUGACCAUCACUCUAAUUGAUGCAUCUGCAUCAAUGUGGACAAAACUGCAGUGCUGAUGAAUGUAUGCCUGUACUGUGUGUUUAAAAUAAAAUCCCCAUCCUUACUCUUUCUUUUCCAUUAAUGUAAAUUCUUCUGUGGCGACAGGAAGUAUUUGUUGCUCUUUUGCCUGUAAUGGCACGGUCUGACUAAUGUUUAACUGGCCUAUUUUAAGUUCUGUUGCUCUCUGAGACAAGCCAAAGCGCUUUGUUUUUUCUUUCCUUUUCCCAUAAAGCUCUUACGAACGCCUCAUGUUGGAUGACCCCGUUCAUGGCCCUGUAACUUUGCUCAGCAAUUUAGUGUUAGCUGCUCCCUUCUGAUUUCUAGUGGCAUUCCACCCAGCUCUGCUCAUUAUGCUGCUAUUGGGGUUGUUUUACACGCAGGUGCGCUGGGUGCAAUUGUAUGUUUGUAUGUAUCUGAUGCUGAACCAUACACUACAAUACUCCAUAAUCUAAUACUGGCCUGAUAAAUCUGCUGUAUAUGGUCCUCAUAGAAUUCCUGUCUGCUUAGUUAUUUUCAAUUAAACAUAUGAUUACAUUUAACACUCUUGCAUUUCUUACUGUUUUUCUUCAUUGUGUGUGACCCAUGUAAUCCUUUCAUGAAACCACGACCAACUCUUGAUUACUUACAUUUUCCAGUGUAAAGCUUCCCUUGACAUGUAUGUAUUUAUCCUGCUGUAGUUUUUAAAAGAAAUGUAUCUGUGUAAUAAUUUGUAAUGCCUAUUUUCCUCACUUUCAUUAGUUGACCUUCUCUUCACAUUGUGUCAUAUUGUAUGUCAUGGCACUUUGUUUGUUU